rnacentral:rRNA from 1 species
UACGUAGGGUGCGAGCGUUGUCCGGAAUUAUUGGGCGUAAAGAGCUUGUAGGCGGUUUGUCGCGUCUGCUGUGAAAUCUCAAGGCUCAACCUUGAGCUUGCAGUGGGUACGGGCAGACUAGAGUGUGGUAGGGGAGACUGGAAUUCCUGGUGUAGCGGUGAAAUGCGCAGAUAUCAGGAGGAACACCGAUGGCGAAGGCAGGUCUCUGGGCCACUACUGACGCUGAGAAGCGAAAGCAUAGGGGAGCGAACAGG